rnacentral:rRNA from 1 species
CGGGACGGGUGAGUAAUGUCUGGGAAACUGCCUGAUGGAGGGGGAUAACUACUGGAAACGGUAGCUAAUACCGCAUAACGUCUUCGGACCAAAGUGGGGGACCUUCGGGCCUCACGCCAUCGGAUGUGCCCAGAUGGGAUUAGCUAGUAGGUGGGGUAACGGCUCACCUAGGCGACGAUCCCUAGCUGGUCUGAGAGGAUGACCAGCCACACUGGAACUGAGACACGGUCCAG